rnacentral:lncRNA from 1 species
UCUUUUUUUUCCCUUUCUCUUUCUCUUUCUCUUUCUCUCUUUCUCUUACUCUCUUCUCUCUCUCUCUCUCUCUCUCUCUCUCUCUCUAUCUAUCUAUCUUUCUCUCUUCCUUUCUGUAUGUUGCUUCAUAUUCUUUCCUUUUACCUUUGAAAAUAGGCACAGUGUCAUUAUAUUUUAAAUCUCCAUCAAUGAUAUUAGCAAACACGUAUUUCAAAAACUUUUAAAUCACUAACGCAUCGGCCAAGGGAAAAAAUAAUUUUAUGAUUUUUAAAACCUACACACCUGCCCUGCUGGUGGGGAGAAGCCGGGGAACCAGGAGCUGCUUUAAAAGCAGUCAUGGCAGUGACACCGUCAACAGCAACAGCGUAUGCUUUUCUCUUGCAGCUCCAAGGGGAAGAGCCAAACUCGAAGAAACCAGAGCCGUGUGCCUUGUGUUUGAGUAUUUGAUGUUGGGAUUCCUCUCCACUUUCAAUGAGUCCUGAGGACCACAGUGGCAUGCCGGUUAUGGUGUCAGUAGGAUGUUGGCAAGUGAAGUUCUUUAGAAAGUGAGUGGCCUUCUUUUACAAAACGAAUAACCUAGGUAGAUAGAAAACAUCAACUGGGAGGGUGGGGUGGAUAUGUC